AUUGAACGCUGGCGGCAGGCCUAACACAUGCAAGUCGAGCGGUAGCACAGGGAGCUUGCUCCUGGGUGACGAGCGGCGGACGGGUGAGUAAUGUCUGGGAAACUGCCUGAUGGAGGGGGAUAACUACUGGAAACGGUAGCUAAUACCGCAUAACGUCGCAAGACCAAAGAGGGGGACCUUCGGGCCCCUUGCCAUCAGAUGUGCCCAGAUGGGAUUAGCUAGUAGGUGGGGUAACGGCUCACCUAGGCGACGAUCCCUAGCUGGUCUGAGAGGAUGACCAGCCACACUGGAACCGAGACACGGUCCAGACUCCUACGGGAGGCAGCAGUGGGGAAUAUUGCACAAUGGGCGCAAGCCUGAUGCAGCCAUGCCGCGUGUAUGAAGAAGGCCUUCGGGUUGUAAAGUACUUUCAGCGGGGAGGAAGGCGAUAAGGUUAAUAACCUUGUCGAUUGACGUUACCCGCAGAAGAAGCACCGGCUAACUCCGUGCCAGCCGCCGCAGUAACAC
rnacentral:rRNA from 1 species